GAUGAACGCUGGCGGCGUGCCUAAUACAUGCAAGUCGAGCGAAUGGAUUAAGAGCUUGCUCUUAUGAAGUUAGCGGCGGACGGGUGAAUAACACGUGGGUAACCUGCCCAUAAGACUGGGAUAACUCCGGGAAACCGGGGCUAAUACCGGAUAACAUUUUGAACCGCAUGGUUCGAAAUUGAAAGGCGGCUUCGGCUGUCACUUAUGGAUGGACCCGCGUCGCAUUAGCUAGUUGGUGAGGUAACGGCUCACCAAGGCAACGAUGCGUAGACGACCUGAGAGGGUGAUCGGCCACACUAGGACUGAGACACGGCCCAGAGUCCUACAGGAGGCAGAAGUAGGGAAUCUACCGCAAAGGACGAAAGUCUGACGGAGCAACGCCGCGUGAGUGAUGAAGGCUUUCGGGUCGUAAAACUCUGUUGUUAGGGAAGAACAAGUGCUAGUUGAAUAAGCUGGCACCUUGACGGUACCUAACCAGAAAGCCACGGCUAACUACGUGCCAGCCGCCGCAGUAA
rnacentral:rRNA from 1 species